rnacentral:rRNA from 1 species
UCAGGACGAACGCUGGCGGCGUGCUUAACACAUGCAAGUCGAACGGUAUGACAUGGAAGCUUGCUGAAGUGUCAUAUAGUAGCGGACGGGUGAGUAAUGCAUGAGAAGCUGCCAUUGGGAGGGGGACAACAGUUGGAAACGGCUGCUAAUACCCCGUAUGCCGGAGGGUGAAAGGGAGUAAUCCGCCCGAUGAGGUGCUCAUGUCCUAUCAGCUGGUUGGUGGGGUAACGGCCUACCAAGGCGACGACGGGUAGCCGGCCUGAGAGGGUGAACGGCCACACUGGAACUGAGAUACGGUCCAGACUCCUACGGGAGGCAGCAGUGGGGAAUAUUUGGGCAAUGGGGGCAACCCUGACCCAGCGACGCCGCGUGGGGGAAGACGGCCUUCGGGUUGUAAACCUCUUUUGUACGGGAAGAAGGAAGUGACGGUACUGUACGAAUAAGUCCCGGCUAACUACGUGCCAGCCGCCGC